GGAUNNAAAUUUAAAUUUGGANGUGCGGCCCAGCAAAAUGAGGUGUGUCCAGCAAUUGAAAGGCUGCAGCCACAAUGUCUCGGUUCAACUUUGAAGAGUGCAUGGAAAGUCCAGAUUGGGUAUUUUUUUUUUGGAAGGGGACACCACUUAACAGAAAACACGAAACCCUAGGGGAGAAGUGGGACCAGCCGCCACUUACUUGAAAAAUCACUUUCCAAUUUCACUCUUAGAUNAUUCUUUGGGUGAUUAAAAAAAAAAAGAAAGCCGCCACUGGGAGCAUGGGCAGAGGAGGAAAACACGUUAAAUUGUGAUUUGAAGAAAGAAGCACACAGAGAGGAGGUUUUGUUUUUGGCUUUAAAAAGAAUGUAGCUGCAACAUGAAGAGGAUUUUUUUUUAUUUCAGAGAUGGAGGGUUAUGGUUGAAGGAGAGAGAGCACACGGAAGUUCAGCAAAGAAGGAGAUGGUGAUUUUUAUUUUGAGAGAAAUGGUGCAGCACCUUUAAAAUGUUUUUCUUUUAGUUUAAUAUAGAUGAAUUUUAAUAGGUUAAUUGAUUUUGCUUGUGUACUUCAAUUAAUUCAGCUUUGCAUUUUUGUUUUCCUUUUGAUAUCAGCACAUGGUCACGACAUCAAGUGUUAUAUUUAGAAGCAAAUUUUUCUUUU
rnacentral:lncRNA from 1 species